rnacentral:misc_RNA from 1 species
AUACAGGCACUUGAGGUGGUGCUUGUGUCUUAUCAGGCUCCUUCUUCUGCAUCUUAAUGUUUUUCUAGUUGUAAUAGAAAAGGAACGGGUUGAACAGAGAAAUGGAGCCAAAACAUUAGAAAGAAAAUGCUGGAAUGGUACAUAAGAUAUACAAACCAGUAAGUUCAUGACUGCGAAAUGGAACCUGCGGUGCUGGCGAGGGAAAGGGAGAUUAAAAGAUCCUUCUGAUUCAGAACUUCAAAGUGGG